AUGUGAAGUUUGAAUUUUCAGAUAAUUGCAAGAAAGCAUUUGAGAUUCUUAAGGAACAUUUGACUAAUGCUCCAAUUGUUGUUUCUCCUGAUUGGAGCGAACCAUUUGAAAUAAUGUGUGAUGCAAGUGAUAUAGCAAUUGGAGUAAUAUUGGGACAAAAGAGAGACAAGAUUUUCAGGCCUAUUUACUACGCCAGAAGAACCCUCAAUGAAGCUCAAAAGAAUUAUGCCACAACUGAGAAAGAGCUGCUUGCAGUAGUUGUCACGACCUUAAAACUGACCUGGUCGUGAUGGCACCUAUCGUGAAACUAGGCCAGCCGACACAACUUCGAAUUAACCAUUAUUCAAUAAAAAUCAUUUUAAGCCUUUAAUUAAUCAAAUAUCUCAUAAUGUAAGUCUAAAUGAACAGUGCGGAAUAAUUACACAAGCCCGAGUUCGGGGUAUCACUAGUCAUGAGCAUCUACAAUAACCGUUUGAAAACAUCAAGACUAGCAUAGCCUGGAAAUAACUAAAUACAACUAAGGGAGGAUAAGGAAGGAGAAAAGCAAGGCUGCGAUCGCCGGGCAGCUACCUUGCUAACUUCGAUGAACCUGCCACUAAGUAAUCAAUACCCGUUACUGGGUUCAGAAAUACUUGAAUCUGCACAUAAAGUGCAUGGAGUAAUGUGAGUAUGCCAACUCAGUAAGUAAUAAAAGUAAAUAAAGACUGAGCAGUAAGAAAACACGUAAGCCACGUCAUAACGCUACAGCAAAUGCAGUACAUUUCCAAAACAGUACAGAAAUCAUUUACUUCGUAAAUCAAGCUCAGUUCAGUAAAACCUUUUAAAACAACUUUCAAUAGUUUCAAACGAGUGAUAAAAUAGUGAGUAAAAAUGAUAGAAAUAUAAAUAGCCCCUCAGGCAAAACAUGUACCAUAAACCGCCCCUCGGGAAUAAUAUCAACAGAACCAGCCCCUCGGGCUACCUCACAAUCACUCGUAAUCAGCCCCUCGGGCAUAACAUGAAUCAAGAACUGCCCCUCGUGAAAAACAUGGAUCAAGAACAGCCCUUCGGGUAAAAAUAUGAAAUAAUAAUAGCCCCUCGGGCUACAUCAUAUCACUCUCACUGGGUACCUACGCUCAUUGGGGGUAUAUAGACUCCGGGAGGGGCUCCUUACAGCCCAAGCGCAACAACAAGCCAUCUCAUGGCAUAAUCAAACAGGCUCUCGGCCUCAUAUCAAGCCACCUUGUGGCGUAACAAAUCAGGCCCUCGGCCUCAUAAUCAUGAAUCAGUACAACACUGAUGCGGCGCGCAGCCCGAUCCCACAGUAACCUUACAACACAGGCCCUCGGUCUCACUUAGUCAGAAAUCUCUUAAGCCACUCGGGCAACAGUAAAACAUGAUGCUCAGCCCAAAAUAUCAUUUAAAAUAUCAAAAAGGAGUAAAUAUGGCUGAGUUAUGAACACAAUAGAAUACAACAUGACUGAGUCAAAUAUGAAGUCAAAACAGUGAUGAAUAGUAGUAGAAAUCUCCUAAGGGUCCAAAACAGUUGGCACGAAGCCCAAAUAUAGCAUUCAGCCCAAAACAUGGUAAUAAUUUCCAAAAAGACAAUGAUAUCAAACAGUUUUCAAUCAAAUACGUGACUUAACAGUCAUACGGGACGGACUAUGUCACAAUCCCCAACGGUGCACGAUCCCACGUUGGUCAUCUAGCGUGUGUCACCUCAAAGUAGCACAACAAUGUAAAAUUCGGGGUUUCACACCCUCAGGACAACAUUUACAAUUAUUACUUACCUCAAUCAAGCCAAUUCCAAUACCGAGCAAGCCAAGUGAUGCUCCAAAAAUACCAUCUCACGCGUUCUGACCUCCAAAAGGCUCGAAAC
rnacentral:lncRNA from 1 species